AUCGAGAUUAUAACAAUUUGAAUGUCAAGUAUUUGUAUGACAGUUACCCCUACUUUGUCAGAGAACGUAAAAACAUGUUUACGGUCUCUGGCCUCGGAGAGUGUUUAAAUACAUACUUAAAAUAAUGUUACGUUCUAAAGUAGGGGCUCACAAAAGGGGAAGAGAGUAAGCCAAACUAAAGGAUUAUUGCUAAACCGAAAAAAUAAUAAGAGAACGUACUUUAUAUAAAAAAGAUAGAAUUGUGGAUUUACCACUGACGUCAAUUAUGCAUCCGGAGACGUAUUUGAAAUGCUGAACACAAAGACGACGACACGACGUAGCGACGGCUAAUCACAAAUGCCGCUUUGAAGCCAGCGUCUUGUACAUUUUGACGACGGCAGCGACAUAUCAAACAGCAAUUUCAUUGUUGCCGUACUAACAUCUUUCACUUCAAUAAAAUUUACAUAUUUAGUUUAAAGUGAAAUUAUUUACGCAAAAAAUGUAAAAAUGGUCGAUUUAUUUAUUUUAAAUAAUCGAUUCUUAUUAUAAAUGAUAUAUCAAAGCUAUUUUACGUUUCUGCUGGCAAAAUAACGUCAUACUUGUGAGAACUUUGAAUAAUUUUACAUUUCACAUGUUAGUGGCAGCUCUACAGCAGCCAUUGUCGUCGGCAAAAUUAGAAACAUUUCUAAUUUGGCGACAACGACAACUACAAGCCUGUUGUCGCGUAGUCGUGCUGUUGUCAAAAAAUCUGUGCCCAUAAGAACGCGUGUAUUUUAAUAUUUGACAGAUGUCGCUUGUCGCUUGUCGUCUUCUAUGUGUUCAGCACAUGUGGCCUAUCAGGUUUCCAAAAUAGCACUCCGCGAAAAAACAAAAGGUAAUGCAGUUUAGAAAGGAUUCUUCUUUCAUGGAAUAAAAAAGAUAUACAGUUGAACUUUCCUAGCUCGAAUCACCAUAAUCCACAAAAGAACUUCGAGUUAUGUAAGAAAAAAGAAAUUUGAUCCCCGCAAAAGUGUCAUCACGUUCAUCAAAAGAUAAAGACAUGUAAGUGAACAAAGCGAUGGAGGAUCACAUCAAAUGGGCGUCUGGAUAAAUUAAGACGCAGAUGAAUAAUAUUAUCAGAACACCGCAUUAUGGACAAUCACAGGAUGUCUCUCGAUGUCGCUAGUCGGACAGUUACUAUGCUUCCUGCAAAGGUUUUUGCUGAGAUGCUUUUGCAGAAACGGCUUUGGGGUGACCUGAGCCGAACCGCCUUCUAGGUCCAUCAAAGCACAUUUAUGCAAUACCUCGACGACAUACUACACCUUAAUGACCUGACUUCGGACGCGACUUCAGUUUCCUUAAGUUGUCUUUCUAGAGCUUUCAGGUUCCUUAAACGUUGCUUAUAACAAUGGAUGCUAGGUAUUGGUACACCUGAAACAAGUGGCGCACUAAAAAAUUACUUUGGGAUAAUGUUGACAGUGAACAGACCAAAAAAAUUAAAAAAUUAUAAUUCAAGGAAAAAGAUCAAUGCAGAUAAAAGGGUCAUUAUGGCGCACUUGCCUCUAAGUUCCAUACCUGCAGAAGCUUGGUAUAAUAGGAUCGGCAGAAUGUAGGAAUGCGCGGAGGAUAAUUAGGCAAUAGAACAUUCAUCUUUACGAAUGCGUAACUUUUAGUCGGUUAAGAAACGGAUACCUUCUACAGCUCCCAAUAUUCCAACCUAAGGAAAAUUGGGCAGCUAUAUUGGAAAAACACUGAGAAAGUUUCUUGAAAUGUAACGUGUUGUUAGUUGAUGCUUGCUAGAGUAUCUCUUGGAAGCACAAUGUGACAAAUAAUGGUUUAGGUGCAGCCGCUUGCGGUCCGGCACUCUUUACCUCACAUUUCAGAUUGAACGCCAUUUAGAGAGGACCUUCAGUGACUUGCGUAAACAACAUCCACACAUCUAAUGCCCUUCUUAUUUUGGUCUGACCACGUCGGACAGCUCGUUUUCUGGUCCUCCCGAUAGAUAGCUUUGAUUUGAAUGAUAAAAAAGCAAUAUACUCUUAUACAUAUUAUAUGUAUGUAUGUAUGGGAUUAUUUAUUUUAAGUACUUGUUUGGCAUAAUACCGACAGUUUGUACUAAAAAUCUAAACUAUAAAAAAGUAAUUAAUUAAUAGUUGUACUUGUAUAGAGAAAAAAAUAACAAAUUGUUGUAAAAUAUUACUGAAAUAAUUGUAGCUCGGAGAAAUAAUAGACUUUUCCUAAAAUAAAUUAUUUUAAGAAUUUCAAUUCCAUUUCGGGAUACAAUUUCUCUCGAUUACAAAAACAAACAAAAAAACUACCAUGCAGACAAAACAAAACGUCAAUUAACAAAUUGAUUAAUUAAUAAAUCUUAAUUUAAAGCCUCGUGGUUAGCUGCUGGAAUUACACGUCAUUUUUAUGGCACAGACCCGAAUAUUUUUCGAAUGCUCCACAAUUAAAUGCAAAA